rnacentral:rRNA from 1 species
CCUACGGGGAGCAGCAGUGGGGAAUAUUGCACAAUGGGGGAAACCCUGAUGCAGCAACGCCGCGUGAGUGAAGAAGUAUUUCGGUAUGUAAAGCUCUAUCAGCAGGGAAGAAGAUGACGGUACCUGAGUAAGAAGCCCCGGCUAACUACGUGCCAGCAGCCGCGGUAAUACGUAGGGGGCAAGCGUUAUCCGGAUUUACUGGGUGUAAAGGGAGCGUAGGCGGCGAUGCAAGUCAGAAGUGAAAGCCCGGGGCUCAACUCCGGGACUGCUUUUGAAACUGUAUGGCUAGAUUGCAGGAGAGGCAAGGGGAAUUCCUAGUGUAGCGGUGAAAUGCGUAGAUAUUAGGAGGAACACCAGUGGCGAAGGCGGCCUGCUGGACGAUGACUGACGUUGAGGCUCGAAAGCGUGGGGAGCAAACAGGAUUAGAUACCCCAGUAGUC